rnacentral:lncRNA from 1 species
AGAAUAUUACAUUCUAAGCCUGAAGUUAUGAUAAUAAAACAGCAUACAAAAUUGUAAACGCGGCAACACAGAGGACAUGUCUUGAUCUUGUUUGGGAAAAUUUAUUGACAAAUAUGAUACUUUUAUUAUUAGAUCUUUUCAUUUUCUAUUUAUUGAUUUGCUAAUAACAUGUUUUUAAUGUUUUUUAUUUACACAUUUACUUGGGGCA